AAAUUGAAGAGUUUGAUCAUGGCUCAGAUUGAACGCUGGCGGCAGGCCUAACACAUGCAAGUCGAGCGGUAGCACAGAGAGCUUGCUCUCGGGUGACGAGCGGCGGACGGGUGAGUAAUGUCUGGGAAACUGCCUGAUGGAGGGGGAUAACUACUGGAAACGGUAGCUAAUACCGCAUAAUGUCGCAAGACCAAAGUGGGGGACCUUCGGGCCUCAUGCCAUCAGAUGUGCCCAGAUGGGAUUAGCUAGUAGGUGGGGUAACGGCUCACCUAGGCGACGAUCCCUAGCUGGUCUGAGAGGAUGACCAGCCACACUGGAACUGAGACACGGUCCAGACUCCUACGGGAGGCAGCAGUGGGGAAUAUUGCACAAUGGGCGCAAGCCUGAUGCAGCCAUGCCGCGUGUGUGAAGAAGGCCUUCGGGUUGUAAAGCACUUUCAGCGGGGAGGAAGGCGUUAAGGUUAAUAACCUUGGCGAUUGACGUUACCCGCAGAAGAAGCACCGGCUAACUCCGUGCCAGCAGCCGCGGUAAUACGGAGGGUGCAAGCGUUAAUCGGAAUUACUGGGCGUAAAGCGCACGCAGGCGGUCUGUCAAGUCGGAUGUGAAAUCCCCGGGCUUAACCUGGGAACUGCAUUCGAAACUGGCAGGCUAGAGUCUUGUAGAGGGGGGUAGAAUUCCAGGUGUAGCGGUGAAAUGCGUAGAGAUCUGGAGGAAUACCGGUGGCGAAGGCGGCCCCCUGGACAAAGACUGACGCUCAGGUGCGAAAGCGUGGGGAGCAAACAGGAUUAGAUACCCUGGUAGUCCACGCCGUAAACGAUGUCGAUUUGGAGGUUGUGCCCUUGAGGCGUGGCUUCCGGAGCUAACGCGUUAAAUCGACCGCCUGGGGAGUACGGCCGCAAGGUUAAAACUCAAAUGAAUUGACGGGGGCCCGCACAAGCGGUGGAGCAUGUGGUUUAAUUCGAUGCAACGCGAAGAACCUUACCUGGUCUUGACAUCCACAGAACUUUCCAGAGAUGGAUUGGUGCCUUCGGGAACUGUGAGACAGGUGCUGCAUGGCUGUCGUCAGCUCGUGUUGUGAAAUGUUGGGUUAAGUCCCGCAACGAGCGCAACCCUUAUCCUUUGUUGCCAGCGGUCCGGCCGGGAACUCAAAGGAGACUGCCAGUGAUAAACUGGAGGAAGGUGGGGAUGACGUCAAGUCAUCAUGGCCCUUACGACCAGGGCUACACACGUGCUACAAUGGCAUAUACAAAGAGAAGCGACCUCGCGAGAGCAAGCGGACCUCAUAAAGUAUGUCGUAGUCCGGAUUGGAGUCUGCAACUCGACUCCAUGAAGUCGGAAUCGCUAGUAAUCGUAGAUCAGAAUGCUACGGUGAAUACGUUCCCGGGCCUUGUACACACCGCCCGUCACACCAUGGGAGUGGGUUGCAAAAGAAGUAGGUAGCUUAACCUUCGGGAGGGCGCUUACCACUUUGUGAUUCAUGACUGGGGUGAAGUCGUAACAAGGUAACCGUAGGGGAACCUGCGGUUGGAUCACCUCCUUACCUUAAAGAA
rnacentral:rRNA from 2 species